GAAAAAAAAAAAAAAAAAGAUAAAAGAUGGGCCAUCACGUAUUGGGCUUUGGAAAAGGGAAUUGACAAAAUGAGACCUUACAUCAUAUAUGUGUAUAUAUGUGAUGAAGGAAAGCAAAUGGGCCACGUGAUUAGCCUUGGGCAUUGCAACCAAGGGUAUCAUAUGCAUAUGAUAUAUAUAUAUAUAUAUAUCAUCAAAGGAAAAGAAGGGGCGGCUGCUAGAGAGGGGACGCCGACAAAAAGCAACCAGAGAAAAAGAUAACAAUGAAGAAAAAGAAAAAAAAGAAAAAAGAAGAGAAAGUUUAUUUGAGUGUUAUUUAGGGUUUUAGUUUUGCAUUUUAAUUUUGAGAUUGACAAAUUUUCAAAGGAAGAAGAAGAGGAAUUUGGAAGAAAAACUUAGAGUCUUGUGACAAUUCUAAAUUGGGUUUUUAUUUCUAUCUUUCUCUCUUUUUCAAUUUUGUAAUUUUUGCACAAUUUAUUAUGAGCUAAACUUUUGACACUUGAAUGGUUAAAGACCCCCUUUUUCAUGUAUUUCAAGUUUGAAUGUAUAUUUACGUAAAUUCACCAUUGUUCAUUCAAGUGUUGUUCAUGAUUAUUGUUUGUUGUUGUUUGGCCAACAAUGGCAGAUUAUUAAGCUAGAUUUAAUACUGGAAAGGUUAAAUCUAGUAGUUGGUGCUUGAAUGAUGCAAGAGAACACCCAUUUUCUAGGUUGUUCUUAGUAAGUAGAAUAUGAAUAUUUUACUACCUUGCAUAACUUUGAGAAUUGAUGCUUAAAUUAUGUUCUUGAAUCUGAUUUAAUAUAGGAAUAUAUUGGGUUAGAUGAUAGAACUUAUUUCAUGAGUUUUGGAAAAAUCUCAUGGGCUUAUAAGGAAUUCUAGUUAACUCUCUGUGUUUUGCUGAAGUAAUGCUGUAACAACUGGGCAGGUAAAAUAUAGGGGGAAUUUAGCUAUUCAAGUCUAUCAUUCCAUAGAUACUUUAUUUUGCAGUUAAUUUUCCAGCGUUUGUAACAAUAUUUUAAUCUUGAUUCCAGUUUAAUCAUUUUAUUUUAGUUCACAACAUCCAAUCUAUUUAUUUUCUUAAAAUUCCAAAUUAUUAAAUAAUUGGUUUUACAUUAAAUUUGACUUGCAAUCCCUGUGGAGACGAUCUUACUUAUCACUUUAUUACUUGUUUGACGAUUUCGUGCACUUGCGUAUACAAUUUUCACAACAAGUUUUUGGCGCCGUUGCCGGGGAUUGUUUUUAGUGAAAUUUUUCUUGUUAAAAUCAAUUGCUUUUCAAUUUGGUUUUUAUUUUUCAUCUUUAUUUUUCUUGUUCCUUUUUACAUUUUGUUUGUUUGAUUGUCUUGCAAGGAGCUUGAUAUGUCUCAUCGGCAAGUUCUCAUGAAUUUUGUUCAACACGACUUGGAGCCCUUGUAUGAAGCAUGGUGGAGAUACAAGGCAUUUCUAAUGAGGUUUCCAUAUCAUGGGCUGUCCAAAGAGUGUCAAUUAGAAGUAUUCCUCAAUGGGCUGAAUUCCACAACAAGGGAAUGGGUAGAAAAAGGAGAUGGUACCACCAAUUUCUACCAAUUAUCAUUGGAGGAAGCCUAUUGGAUGUUGGAAGAUAUGGCAACAUACAAUGAAUGGUGUUGUAAUUGUCCAAACAAUGACCAUGUUUGGGAGGACAACUACAACAAUUUGGAGCAAAAUUUUGACACUUAUACUCAAGGACCAAAUGAUGAGAUUUUGGAAGAUUUUCAAGAGUUCAACAUAGAAGAGCCAUGCAAUUUUUUGGUGUUUUGCGUUUCUGAAAUUAUGGAAAUUACUAGAAUUUGAUCUUAUCCAUACAACUCGUGAUAAUAUCUCUUUUUAGCAAGUCAUUUUAAAGGCAUCUGAGGUGUUUCAACAAUUUGAAUUUGAACUAUUUCUUCUUUCUACUUGGUAUGUUUGGGGAGAGAUGAACAAUAUUACUCACGGUCGAACCGCCCAAUCUCCAAUGAUUAUGGUUUCAAGAAUUAGAUCAUUAUUUGACAAGUAUAAUCAGAUGUUGUUUUUAAUACUAUAGGUAUUGGUUCGAUUAUUUGAAAUUCAUGUGGAGAAGUCCUGGCUUGUCUCUCCAAAUCACUCUUAGGUUGCUUUAUAGUGACUCGGGCAGAAUGUGUAGGGUUAAUGAUAGCAUUGGAUUGGAGCCAAAUGCUAGGUCUUCCUUUGAUUUUUGUUGAAUCAGAUUGUUUAGCAGCUAUGAUUGUUUUUUUGAAAAGAUCCUAUUAUUGCAAUAACUUAGGUUCUUUGUUAGAGGAUAUUGCAAGUUUGUUGUCCAAUUUUCCAGGAGUGUCCCUAAUUUAUGUACAUCGUACAGCUAAUAAGGUUGCACAUGAAUUGGCAGUACAUGCUUUUAGGGUGGACAACGAAUUUGUAUGGCUAGAAGAUUUCCCUUCUUUUCUUCAAGUUUUUUAGUCUUUUAGACUGUAUGACAUUAUAACCUUUUUCAAUGAAUAUAUUUUUGUUGGAUUUUAUGCCCUUAGAAAACCAUGUCGGGCAUGUAACGCGAUUUUAUAUUGUCAAUAAAAGUAGCAGAAA